rnacentral:rRNA from 1 species
GACGAACGCUGGCGGCGUGCUUAACACGUGCAAGUCGAACGGAUAGGGCCAUUUGGGGGUACUCGAGUGGGGAACGGGUGAGUAAAACGCGAGUAACCUGCCCUUGAAUUCGGGAUAAAUUCCGGAAACUGGGGCUAAUACCGGCUAGGAAUCCUUGCUGCAUGGUGGGGGUUGUAAAGCUUUGGCGGUUUUGGAUGGACUCGCGGCUUAUCAGCUAGUUGGUGGGGUAGUGGCCUACCAAGGCUUCGACGGGUAGCUGGACUGAGAGGGCGACCGGCCACAUUGGGACUGAGGUACGGCCCAGACUCCGACGGGAGGCAACAGGGGGGAAUAUUGCACCAUGGGCGGAGGGCUGAUGCAGCAAGGCCGCGGACGGGAUAGCGGCCUUCGGUGUGUAAACCGCUAUCAACAGGAGCGAAGCUUGUGGUGACGGUACCUGCAGAAGAAGCACCGGCUAACUACGUG